UACAGAGGGUGCAAGCGUUAAUCGGAAUUACUGGGCGUAAAGCGUGCGUAGACGGUUAUGUAAGUCAGAUGUGAAAGCCCCGGGCUUAACCUGGGAAUGGCAUUUGAGACUGCAUAGCUAGGGUGCGGAAGAGGGAAGCGGAAGUUUCCGGUGAUAGCGGUGAAAUGCGUAGAUAUCGGAAGGAACACCAGUGGCGAAGGCGGGUCUCUGGGCCGUAACUGACGCUGAGGAGCGAAAGCAUGGGGAGCCGAACAGG
rnacentral:rRNA from 1 species